CUUCUUUUUUUUGUUAGAGGAAAUAAAAGUAUAUAGGCAAGCAAACGCUCACCGUCCCCGUCCCCCCAAGAUUUUGUCACAUUCCAUGACUCUCCUGUGGCUUUCAUGCCUUCCUGACCCCCAUUCUUAUAUUAACCUUUUGCCUCUUUGCUUGUUUUAGGGGCAGGCUCAGAGUCACAGAGGGCAGGAGGUUAAUUGCAGGCAGGGAUGGAGUCAGCAUCAUUUUACGGAUCUUUCUGAACCCCGUGGUGCUCGUCUGUGAACCCGCUGUCUGCGGUGUCGGGGACUGAAACCAGGAGAUCGGAAGCUUGGCUCAGGCGUCCCAGCCCAGAAAUUUCAAAUGGAGCAGUUCUUGGAACGGAGCUUCAAGACCAUGAUGCGAAGAGGAAGAAAUGAAAACAGCAUCAGUGCACCAACCAUAUGUCCGUCUGUGCUGAGCGCACACAGUAGGCAUUGUUCCUGCCCGGAGGGGAUGACCAUCUGUUGGACCAGAUCAAUCAGCGGAAGGAACCGGGCACCAUUGAGAUGGAACUCCAGCACUUAGCUUCCUCCGAGGGAAGGGUGGCCGGGCCCUAGGGGAGGUUCUGACGGGAAAGGGGCUCGGUCCGCCCGCCGGAAAGGGUGGGAGAAUUAAGAGGUCGGCGAUUCUGGUUCCUCCCCAGCUGCCGCUGCCCGAAAAGCUGACGCGCGGCCAUCCGUCCGGAUGGAAUUUUACAACCUCUCGCGUGGGGAGCGUCGAGCCUGGCUUUCAUCCUGUACUGGACGAGGUCGGGGUGAGGCGCGCUUAUAGCCGGCAAGGACGGAAGCCUGGACGAAGCCGGACAGAGUCGGAUUUUCUGGCUCGCUUCCCGGGUCUCCUCAUCUAUCGGCGACCGUAGUAGCCGCCGGAUCCCUCUCUCACUACUAG
rnacentral:lncRNA from 1 species